GAUGAAGAACGUAGCGAAAUGCGAUAAGUAAUGUGAAUUGCAGAAUUCAGUGAAUCAUCGAAUCUUUGAACGCACAUUGCGCCCCUUGGUAUUCCGGGGGGCAUGCCUGUUCGAGCGUCAUUAUCACCCCUCAAGCUCAGCUUGGUGUUGGGGCCUGCCGUCAAGGCAGCCCUUAAAAUCAGUGGCGGCGCCAUCUGGCUCUAAGCGUAGUAAUUCUUCUCGCUGUUGGGUCACGGUGGUCGCCCGCCAGCAACCCCCAAUUUUUACAGUUUGACCUGGGAUGAGGUAGGGAUACCCGCUGAACUUAAGCAUAUCAAUAAGCGGAGGA
rnacentral:misc_RNA from 1 species